GCGCCCGUAGCUCAGUCGGAUAGAGCGACCGCCUCCUAAGCGGUAGGUCGGAGGUUCGAAUCCCCUCGGGCGCGCCA
rnacentral:tRNA from 2 species